AUGACGCUGGCGGCAGGCCUAUCACAUGCAAGUCGAGCGGAUGAAGGGAGCUUGCUCCUGGAUUCAGCGGCGGACGGGUGAGUAAUGCCUAGGAAUCUGCCUGGUAGUGGGGGAUAACGUCCGGAAACGGGCGCUAAUACCGCAUACGUCCUGAGGGAGAAAGUGGGGGAUCUUCGGACCUCACGCUAUCAGAUGAGCCUAGGUCGGAUUAGCUAGUUGGUGGGGUAAAGGCCUACCAAGGCGACGAUCCGUAACUGGUCUGAGAGGAUGAUCAGUCACACUGGAACUGAGACACGGUCCAGACUCCUACGGGAGGCAGCAGUGGGGAAUAUUGGACAAUGGGCGAAAGCCUGAUCCAGCCAUGCCGCGUGUGUGAAGAAGGUCUUCGGAUUGUAAAGCACUUUAAGUUGGGAGGAAGGGCAGUAAGUUAAUACCUUGCUGUUUUGACGUUACCAACAGAAUAAGCACCGGCUAACUUCGUGCCAGCAGCCGCGGUAAUACGAAGGGUGCAAGCGUUAAUCGGAAUUACUGGGCGUAAAGCGCGCGUAGGUGGUUCAGCAAGUUGGAUGUGAAAUCCCCGGGCUCAACCUGGGAACUGCAUCCAAAACUACUGAGCUAGAGUACGGUAGAGGGUGGUGAAUUUCCUGUGUAGCGGUGAAAUGCGUAGAUAUAGGAAGGACACCAGUGGCGAAGCGACCACCUGGACUGAUACUGACACUGAGUGCGAAAGCGUGGGGAGCAAACAGGAUUAGAUACC
rnacentral:rRNA from 2 species